rnacentral:rRNA from 1 species
GAUGAACGCUGGCGGCGUGCCUAAUACAUGCAAGUCGAGCGAACGGACGAGAAGCUUGCUUCUCUGAUGUUAGCGGCGGACGGGUGAGUAACACGUGGAUAACCUACCUAUAAGACUGGGAUAACUUCGGGAAACCGUAGCUAAUACCGGAUAAUAUUUUGAACCGCAUGGUUCAAAAGUGAAAGACGGUCUUGCUGUCACUUAUAGAUGGAUCCGCGCUGCAUUAGCUAGUUGGUAAGGUAACGGCUUACCAAGGCAACGAUGCAUAGCCGACCUGAGAGGGUGAUAGGCCACACUGGAACUGAGAAACGGUCCAGACUCCUACGGGAGGCAGCAGUAGGGAAUCUUCCGCAAUGGGCGAAAGCCUGACGGAGCAACGCCGCGUGAGUGAUGAAGGUCUUCGGAUCGUAAAACUCUGUUAUUAGGGAAGAACAUAUGUGUAAGUAACUGUGCACAUCUUGACGGUACCUAAUCAGAAAGCCACGGCUAACUACGUG